UUUUAAUGUUUGCAAUUUCAAUAGUAACAUUUUAUUUAAAAUAUUUUUAAAGAUCUAAAUUGAUUAAAAUAUGUUUAUUCUUUAAAAAAGACAUUUUGCUUCAUUAAAAUUACAAUCGAAUUAAUAGCAGUUAAAUAGUGUUAAACUGACAGUCUUAGUAUGCACGCAAAUUCCCUACAGAUACAUGCACCGACCAAGUUACUCAUCAAAACACCCCUAUAAUUCUAAUGGCCUGGAAUUACCAUGUCAUAUUUUUUGUGCAUCAGUUCACAGUACCACAAGUAUGGAUGCUCCGAGAGCUGUGAUUGGUCCACUGCUGUCAGUGCAUUAGACAGGCACAGCUGGUAUCUUCAGUUGCUUCUCUGGGUGUUGUCCAUUAUAAUAUUCGUCUUUCAUUGACUCUUACUGUAAGUCAUAAGAAGCUUUAAGGCUAUUGUUGCACGGUCAGAAUUGGACCCCUGACCCCCUUACCCCCACCCCUUCUCUUCUCUAAUGUGUGCAGUUUAGUAGCUUCCUAGUGUAAGCCCUGGGACAAACCCUCUCCUCUCCUGUAGCUGUGCACACUAUCAUACCACACUGAGCACAAAUUCACAAUAAAUGCUUUUGAAAUGAAUACUGAAACAUUGGCAAGGUCAGCCAGAUCAUAAAGGUGUGUGUGUGUGAUUGGGGUGCACGGUUUCCAUGAACUCUUAAGAAUGAUCAAAAAUGUCCAGCAAGCAUAAGUAUCAUUACCCUUAUCUAUCUAAAGAGUAGAUUUUAGUUAUAUACUGUUUCCUAAACUUGACUGAAUUGAUUGUUAAGUUUAUGCAUUCUUGCAGCCACUUUUGUAAAUUAAGCUUUUUUAAAGCAGGUUUGAUUUGGCUCCAACACCCUUGGUGAAGUUACCAUGCUGAAAGGUGAUAGAUUACUUCAAAAGACUGGUUCCCGUGGAAAAAGCGGGCCCUCCCAGAAGAAGUGCCACCCCCACAGUGCGCCUACACAUCCCGGGGUCCGGCCCAGGGGCCCGGCAGUCCCAUCCGGCGCCCCCGAGCUGACUCUAAGAAAACAGGACUGCUCUCCAAGGGAAAGAAUCUAUUAAAAAGGCUUGGUGCUGUCAAAUAGUUUCACAUAACUCUCCUCACAGCAGCCGAGAUAAGGAGGUUGGAAUUGCAGAGAAAUUACCUUAGAAGGUGGGAAAAAGAACAUUUCUCCCAUCUUCUGUUUCUGUAAUCACUUGGAUUGGCCAUGGAAAAGAGAAAGGAAAAUGGUGGAAACGAGGGCUUUUAUGACCACAGCUUCAGCUUUAUGCCAUUGAAACUGUUCUGCAAGUUCUGUCUGCCCAUGUCUGAUUCUUAAAAGCACAGAAACGCUCACUUAAUGUGACUUACUAAGAUGUCUUGUUAUAAAUAUACAAUGCAAGGGAUGUUCUUGGAUAAUAAAAUAAAAUCUAUAUUUAUUUAAUUAGACAAAUGUUUAAUUGUAUUCAUUUGAAUGGACAUUCAAUGUAUUAUUAUUGUUAAUAAUAAAGUUGUUUAAUAUGUAAUCAAAUAAUAAUUAUAAUA
rnacentral:lncRNA from 1 species